UAUCCUGGCUCAGAUUGAACGCUGGCGGCAUGCUUUACACAUGCAAGUCGAACGGCAGCGCGGGGCAACCUGGCGGCGAGUGGCGAACGGGUGAGUAAUAUAUCGGAACGUACCCAAGAUGGGGGAUAACGUAGCGAAAGUUACGCUAAUACCGCAUACGAUCUAAGGAUGAAAUGGGGGAUCGCAAGACCUCAUGCUCCUGGAGCGGCCGAUAUCUGAUUAGCUAGUUGGUGAGGUAAAGGCUCACCAAGGCGACGAUCAGUAGCUGGUCUGAGAGGACGACCAGCCACACUGGGACUGAGACACGGCCCAGACUCCUACGGGAGGCAGCAGUGGGGAAUUUUGGACAAUGGGCGCAAGCCUGAUCCAGCAAUGCCGCGUGAGUGAAGAAGGCCUUCGGGUUGUAAAGCUCUUUUGUCAGGGAAGAAACGGUUGAGGAUAAUACCUUCGGCUAAUGACGGUACCUGAAGAAUAAGCACCGGCUAACUACGUG
rnacentral:rRNA from 1 species